rfam:Virgibacillus soli strain PL205 scaffold000004, whole genome shotgun sequence.
GCGGGUGUGGUGGAAUUGGCAGACACGCUAGACUUAGGAUCUAGUGCCGCAAGGCGUGGGGGUUCGACUCCCUUCACCCGCA